rnacentral:rRNA from 1 species
CCCUUAGAUGUUCUGGGCCGCACGCGCGCUACACUGAUGCAUUCAACGAGUCUAAAACCUGCUCUGAUAGGGGUGGGUAAUCUUUUGAAUGUGCAUCGUGAUUGGGAUAGAUGAUUGCAAUUUUUCAUCUUCAACGAGGAAUGCCUAGUAAACGCAAGUCAUCAGCUUGCAUUGAUUACGUCCCUGCCCUUUGUACACACCGCCCGUCGCUCCUACCGAUUGAAUGAUCCGAUGAAUAUCAUGGAUUGAGGAUGCAAGUAGGUUCGCCUAUCUUCAUCUUCGAGAAGUGAAGUAAAUCUUAUCAUUCAGAGGAAGGAGAAGUCGUAACA